UGGCAGUGUGGUUAGCUGGUUGUAAA
rnacentral:sRNA from 1 species